rnacentral:rRNA from 1 species
GUGAGGAAUUUUGCGCAAUGGGGGCAACCCUGACGCAGCGACGCCGCGUGGAGGACGAAGUCUUUCGGGAUGUAAACUCCUGUCAGUGGGGACGAUAAUGACGGUACCCACAGAGGAAGCACCGGCUAACUCUGUGCCAGCAGCCGCGGUAAGACGGAGGGUGCAAGCGUUGUUCGGAAUUACUGGGCGUAAAGCGUAUGUAGGCGGCAAGUUAAGUUCAAUGUUAAAGCCCACGGCUCAACCGAGGAGAUGCAUUGAAUACUGGCUAGCUAGAGGGUGUUAGAGGAAGACGGAAUUCCCAGUGUAGCGGUGAAAUGCGUAGAUAUUGGGAGGAACAUCGGUAGCGAAAGCGGUCUUCUGAGACAUACCUGACGCUGAGGUACGAAAGCGUGGGGAGCAAACGGGAUUAGAAACCCCUGUAGUCC